CACGGGGGGAGCAAGCGUUGUUCGGAAUCACUGGGCGUAAAGGGCGCGUAGGCGGCCUGAUAAGUAGGGGGUGAAAUCCUGCGGCUUAACCGCAGGGCUGCCUUCUAAACUGUCAGGCUCGAGCACAGUAGAGGCAGGUGGAAUUCCCGGUGUAGCGGUGGAAUGCGUAGAGAUCGGGAAGAACAUCAGUGGCGAAGGCGGCCUGCUGGGCUGUUGCUGACGCUGAGGUGCGAAAGCGUGGGGAGCAAACAGG
rnacentral:rRNA from 1 species